UAAUAAAAAUAAUAUAUGGGGUUUUACGUGCCAAAACCACUUUCUGAUUAUGAGGCACGCCGUAGUGGGGGACUCCGGAAAUUUUGACCACCUGGGGUUCUUUAACGUGCACCUAAAUCUAAUCCGAAGAAAAGAGUAUAGGUAACUGGAGGAAACUUUGUCGCGUCGGUCGAGGAUUACCUGCCUUUUUUACCUUGAAGUGACAAUCUUUUAGGAUGCUUGUUUAUCUUUAGUGCUUAACUUUGGUGCGCGUGAUGAAAGUGUCGAGCGUUGCACGAAGUUUCAGCUGUGCGGAGAGCGAUCUCCGACCCGCCAUAUACGUAUGUGCUAAGAAGACCGACGUGUGCAGUCGAGUUCUAGCUGUUACCCUCGGUCCGUUUAACUUGAACAGCUUUUUGUAGAGCGCAGUGUGAAUAAAUAAGUGUUCUUCCGCA